rnacentral:lncRNA from 10 species
AAAGAGCCUAGAACCUGGGUCCUAGUUUGCACCUAGAAUAUGAGGCAAGUGGCGAGAGUGAUCGUGUUCCUGACCCUGAUGACGAGGAGCUGGCAGAAAGUGGGAGUCCUGGUCCCCAAAUGUCCAGGAUGCAGCCAACUCUUCUCUGAAGUGCUCCACUAUUUCCAGUACUUCAUGUGGCACAGACAAUAUCCUCAAAAAAGCCUAGGGUUUCUGAUUUUCAUAUUCUCAAUGGAGAAAAUGAGGAAGGAAUAUUUACAGUUCAUUUGAAUAAAGACAAUGAAUACACCCCUUUGCACAAAACAGACCCAAAGGCUGGCGACUCUGACACCUACAUCUUUGUGAGAAGCUCAGAGUGAUUCCAAAGUCCCUGGAGAGCCUCUGCCCAAAGCCGCACUCCAGUCAUAAGAGUUGAGAGAGUGGGAUAGAGGGACAUCUCUGUAAUGUUCCUGCCUACUUAUGAAAAUCAAUACCCACGUAUGAGAGGCUGUGUGGGAUUAUCUAAAGAAGAUACUAUACUAUUCUGUAGAUAAUUGAUCUGGAAAAGGUGGAAUAUUGGAUUGGAAAAUUUCAAAAUGUUUUCUACCCACUUGGAGUUCAUCCCAUGCCUGCUCUUGGGAUCUUGGUUGGAUGAUGCCUUUGGGGUAGUCCAGAGGAAAAGAGCUGUGCUGUGGAGAUGGGGAGCCGGGUUACGGUCCAGGUUGUUUCAAGGAGGAACUGACUGUGAGGAAACAACACAACUAGCUUUUGUUUCAAGGUCUGCUUUUAUGAACAGGUAUCUGUAUGUUAGCCAUUUUGGAAGAAAGAGUUGAACAGCCACUGAGGGAUGGUAGAAGGGGCACUCUAAUUCUAGUUGUACUUUAUUUUUACUACAUGCUCUGGGCAGCAAAACAGACUGGAAAAAUAAUCAGCUCUAAAGCCAGGCAUUCCUGGGUUUGAAUCUGAGAUCUCCUGCUGUAAAGAGUUUGACCUUAGUCAAAUACUUUUGGCAUUUGAGCUUUAAUACUUUGUCUAUAAAAUGAGGGUCAUAAUACUAUUUUUCCAGGGUUCUUCUGUGGUUAAAAGACUAUCACUAAGAAUGUCCUGGUUUAAUCAGCACUCAUCAGAUUAAUGCUAUCUAUAUCCUGCAUUAUCAUUGCUAUUAAACCUCACCUGCCAACCCAAAAAGCUGUUUGGAGGAUGACAUCACAUACUGGGUGUUCAGACUCUUCAGAAACUGAAAAAGACCUGAGCCAAUACAAGAACAUUUUUUUGGGAGUUAAAACUCUUGGUCUGUGACAAAAAGAUCAAUAAAUUGAUCAAUAAAUUGAUCUGCUAUUUCUCUGUAGAAAGAUCACAUGAUUUUUUUAAACAAAAUGAUGUCCCCUCAGAAGGGGAGAUGUUGGGAGGGGAAAGGGAGAUGCAAAAUUACUUGUUGGGUACAAUGUACACUACUUGGGUGAUGGGUGCACUAAAAUCCUUGAACUCACCACUAUAGAAUUCAUCUAUGUAACCAAAAACCACGUUUACCCCUAAAGCUGUGAAAUAGAAAAAAAUUUUAAAAAUGAGGCCAGGGUCAUACCAUUAUUUUUUUCUCUGAGAGAGAAACAGCCAAAAUUAUUUCAUUUGGAACUCAUUAGUACAUUUACUCAGCAAAUGUUUAUUUUGUAUUAUGAUGUGAUAGGCAAUGAUGUAAUGGAGGAAGUACCUUAUUCUCCAAUAUAGAUAAGUUUUCUGCACAAACGGAGGUUUUAUUCUUCUGUGGGCAGACAACACAAACAAAGAAAAAAAUGAUUUCCAAAUAUAAGUGACAUUUGGAAAACAAAAUAGGGUAAUGUGAAGGAGAAUCAUGGUGGUUAUGGAGGUCAUUUAGUGGUGACAUUUGAGCUGAAUCUUGAAUGACAGAAAAAUGACAAAACCAUUUAAGACCUGGGGUAAGAAAGAGUUUUCAAAUGCAACAAUGGUCCUUAGGCAGAGCAUGUUUGCUGCAUUUAUGACAGAAGCUGGUGUUCCCUGAAUAUAGUGAGAAGGAGAGUGGUAGGAAAUAAUGUCAAAAAGGUAGUUAUGGACUUGAAAAUACAAAGCCUUGUAAAUCAUGGUUAGAUUCAGAUUUUAUUCUACAUGUAUUGGGAAGUAUUUGACUACCUAAUUUAUAUUUUAGAAGGAUCACUCUUCGUGCUCUGGGGAAUGGCUCAUAGGGUUGGCAUGGGGAGAGACUAGGGCACAAAGACAGUUAGAAUUUGCAGGGGACCCAGUGAGACCUGAUGGAGGUAUAGACUAGGUGGUAGAAGUGGGAAUGAAGAAACAUGGAUGAAUUAACUUAUAUUUUGGAGGUAAAAAAUAGAUCUUAAUGAUGAUUUGUAUAUGGCAGAUGGGGAAAAAAAGAGAGUCGAUGAUGACUUUUAAGUUUUUGGCUUAUGUAGUUACAUGGAAGAUGAGAUAGGGAAUUCUGAGAGAGGAAAUAUUUUUGAUUAUAGUAGGCAGGUAAAAGUGUCAUUUCAGAUAUGUUAAGUUAGAGAUGUCUAUAAGGCAUUCAACUGUAGUUGUUGACCAGGGAGUUCCAUAUUGAGCCUGGAGCUAACAGAGGACAUAGCUGGCCUAUGGGAUAGUGUUCAAGCCACGCAUUGAAUGAGAUCACUUAGGGAAAGAGUGUGGAUGGAGAAGAGGUUCUUAACCUGAGCACUUGGACUGUCAGUUGAGGUUUAAUAGCGAAGGAAAAAUCAGCAAAGGAGAUCGAAGUCUAUUAGUGAAUUGGAAGGGAAGCCAAUAGAAUGUGCUGUCACAGAAGGCAAAACAAGAAAAUGUUUCAAGGAGUGGUCAAUUGUGUCUACUAUACUACUUCUGGGUUUGGGUGGGAGCUUAUAGUGUGAAAAGAAGAAUUAGUCAGAAGAGACAGAUGGAAAAUAACUUCAACUGGAAAGGAUUAAUGAUAUAAUCCAUUAGUGUUCUUAUUCCUGCAUUUAAAAUUUUCAUGAAAUUUUAUAUAUUGACUUUUUUUCUUAAUGGCUUCUGGCGUUGGUAUCACUUAAAAAGGCCUUUGUUGCCUUGCUAUUAUAAAUAACCUUCAAUUUAUAUUUCUUCUAUAAUUAUGUUAGUAGCUUUGUUUUCAUACAUGGAAACUUUGUGGACAAUCAUAAACUUAUUUUUAGAAUAUGGAGUGGAGCAGCGACCCAGUUUUAUUUUUCCCCAAUAUUUAUUGAGCGACGCAUCCUGUCUUCACUAAUCUGAAAUUGCGUAUUUCUCUAAGAAUUUGGGUCUCUGUCUUGCCUCUAUCUGUCCUCUCAUUGCUAUUUGUGCACAUAUUCCAUACUCAUUUAAUUACUUGACAAAUUAUUUGAUAAAUUAUUUCAGUAGUAUUGGACCCAGUUUAUGUACUUUCCUGCUUUAAUUUGGCCAUUGUUUUCUGCUCAGUGUUACCGCUAAUCCUCCGGGAAAACUGCCUAGUACAAACUGCAUUCUCUAAUCUGGAGAGAGAAAGUUAAACUUCUGUAGGAAAAAGUUGCCUCAAGUCAUAGUUGCGUUUGCUGAGGGGCAGGGACCACUGAAGUGGCUCUCCUGAUCUCUCAUGUUACUUGCAGGCAAAGGAGAAUUUACCAUGAAACUCCUCAUUUCAGAGGCAUUUUCCAAAAUUUCUUUAGUGGGAGGUCCUGUAAUGCUGCAGUUCCCAACCUUUUUCGCACCAGGGACUAGUUUCAUGGGAGACAAUUUUUCCACAGACCAAGGGAGUGAGGAUGAUUUCGGGAUGAAACCAUUAGCUCAUCAGGAAUUAGUUAGGUUCUCAUAAGAACUAGGCAACCUAGAUCCCUCUCAUGCACAGUUCACCGUAGGGUUUGCGCUUCUAUGAGAAUCUAAUGCCAUUGCUGCUCUGACAGGAGGCAGAGCUCAGGUAGGUUUUAUGAUCAGAAAAAUAUUAAACAAAAUUUAACAGCCUUGGAAAAGUUAUUUAUAAACAUUGCAUUUUAUUUAAGAGGUUGAAUAUAUACAUUGUUUUGCCAUUUUGAAUUUAUUAGCAGUGUGGCAAAGUUAGCUUAAUUUGCUAUUAGUAAAACUGAAAACCAUUUGAUAAGCUCUUAGAAUUAUGCUAAUUUGUCUGAACGGUAGUAGAAGCUAUUUUAAUUAAAAACUGUAGCUAUAUAGUUUAAUCUAUAUAGUUUAACCCUCAUAAUUUGAUAGAAUUGAGAUCAUAGGUGUUGUGAAGUAUGACUAAUGCCCUAAUAUAAAUAAACAAGUAAUAAACUGUCAUAAACAGUCUCAAUAUACUCUGAAUUCUUUCUUCCAACAGAUUUAAUUUGUAUAGACAAUAGUAAUACAUUCGGAUAAAAAUUCCAAAUUUGAUUUCACUUAUACUUGUUGAUGUUUGUAAUGAGAGAGUCUUUCUGCGUAUGUUAAAAUUCAUAUGUUAAUAGGUGUUUU